rnacentral:lncRNA from 1 species
CUAGCAGUAUAAAACUUCAGAAAGCCGCAAAAUAUAUCGUCAUUGGCUAUCUGACGGUAAUUCCAACAUAAAAGCUAAUCAUCAUUGGCUUCAACUGCAUUAAUGACCUAAUUUGACAAAAUUAAUAACUACAAAAUUUAACAUCAUCGGAGAGCCAACCCUAGGAUAAGUGUUAGAUCACGCAUCAAUACCUCGGCACAACCCACACAAAUAUUAAAACUGGAAGGUAAAGACGCAAACGAUCAAUAACAGCAAAAGGAGAUAUAAAAUGACAGCAAAAAGAGAUAUAAAGUUGCUCAGUGGUGGCAAUAUUUAAUAGGUUCGAUUCUGCCAGCAAUUUCGUCAAUGCUUUCAGAAGAGGGAGCUUGUUAUCCUCAUCGCAACUACAUCACCAAAUACAACAAACAAAAUCAAACACAAAAAGAGAAGAACAAGGAAUGGCAGACCAAAAAAAUCAAGUGGGAGAUGGCUCGGUUCAGCGGGAUAAUCGGCAUACAUAUCAACUCCUGAGAGAAAACCUGUGAUUUGGUCUGUUGAGCUUGAAUAUUUGCAAAUCGUCACUGCCAUCACAGGAAAAGAAGUAUAUAUUGAAAACAGAACCAACUGGAAGACAGGACUGAAACAAAUCUGUGAAUGUAUAGGAGGGAUAAGAGGACUUCACAAUAUGAUAUCAACUUCCACAGAGUCAGAUUCAGAAAUGUCAAUCAGCACAGAUCCAACAAUGCAGACCAUAAGACUGGGGCGACAAAUAUGAAAUCAUCAUCCUCAAAACUGGAUUGGAAAAUCAUUACAACCAUCAAUGUACUUAUUGUAUGCAUGAUAAAAAAAUUCCUAUUGCAAUCUAACAGAAUUUAAAUGGCAAACGGGAUAUGAGCUCAGGAAGAACGUAGCGUUUGAUAAUCACACCUGGAAGAUCAUAUUUAUAGAAUUGUCUCAUCACUGCUCACAUCCCGGCAAAUAAACAAAUAAGAUAUUUAUUAGUCCAAUAGAAGGUGAUUCAAAUACUUUAGUUCAAACAAAGGACAGAUCCUGAAAAAGAAUUAACAUGUCAGUUUCCAAUAUACAAAGUAAUAAGAGGACUCAGAAUAUGGGUGGUGAUAUAGCAGGAUGGUCGGCAAGGCAAAUAAAUGCCAGUUACGACGAACGAGACCAAAUAUCAAUCUUCACCGUCCUCGAAGGAAAAUCAUAGUAAAUUAAUUGUUUUGAUUUUCAAAUAAAAAGUGUUAGGAAAGAUGAACGAAAUUGUUUGAUUCUGCUGCAAAAAGGGUUAGGUUUAAGGGUCAUCAGAUAGGAGCGAAAGACUAUUUUCGUUCAUGUAAUCAUGAUUUUAUCAUAUGAACUAUGCACUUGUAAUCAUCAGUUGACCUCGGGCAAACAACAAUUCAAUGAAAAUAAAAACAAAAGAAAAGAAAAACAGAAAUAGAACACCAGGAAUCAUGAUGCCUCAGAAGGAAGGCAGUAGGUUAUGUAAUCAUUUGUGAUUUCAUUGAGAAAGGUUCACACUAAUCAUCACCAGCACCAUGAAGACAUAAAACACAAUAAAUGUAACUGCAGAUACAUAAAUGAGCAAGAUCAUUAGCCUCAUAGAGAAGAUUAGAUGAUUCCACAUAAAGAAAAUUCAGACAUAUGCUUGUCUAUUAAAUUACUUUAAUCAUUGGCCACCAAUGAACACGCCACUUACAAAAGCAAAACAUCUUCAAAAAAAAACAGACUGGUCAAGAUCAAAUAUUAACCUUAACCGUCCUCAAAACAAAAUGGUUUGAGAAAUAAUAGUUGACCAAGGCCGAGUUUACUGGUGCUCAGAUUCUAUGGGUGUAUUAGGAGUCAUUCAUGUGGUUCUCCCAUCAGUACGAGGAAUGUUUUAUAAUCACUGCACAAAUGAAACCAGCAGCACAAGAUUUAAAACAUUGAAUUACGAAAAGAGAAGUUAAGACAAGUAAAGUCACCCAAACAUUUCCUCUGAAAUUGACAAAUUUUCAAAUAAUUCAACACAAUACUAUCUAAUGAAAAUGCAAAACAAACCGCAGAACAAAUAAACACAGAAAACAAGUAUCCAACAAAUCCAGUAGAAUAGUGGUUUGGUAAUGCUCAGAUUCUAUGGGUGUAUAGGAGUCGUUCACGUGGAUCUCCCAUCAGUACGAGGAAUGUUUUAUAAUCAUUGCACCACCACAUGUUUCUACUCUAAAUCAGAUGAACCACAAGGACUUCAAUUACACUAGAUAAAAAGCAAAAAGAAAACAAUAGAAUCACAGAUGGUAAACUGGAAUUUCAGGUUGCACAUAGGGCAAAAUCCAACAGAAUUCAGGGAUGCAUCAGAUCUCCAAGGUGAAAAAGCUGUGACAUCAUAGAAUGCCUCAGACGCAAAUUACCCAUAAAACUUGUGUCUCCUCAUCUGCAUCAACAUUGCCGGUUGUUUCGAAACCAAUCAAACUCAAUUUUAAAACCAAUAUACAGGCAGAGCUGCAACCUUUCAAAACUAGAAGCUAAAAUCACAUUUUUUUUAUCAAACCAGGGAUGGUGAUCAGACUCGGUUCAGUAUUUAGGCCAUCAUGUUGGCCAAUCAAACCAAUAGGGAAAUUAAUCAUUCAUCAUCUCACCUCCACCGAUUAAAUUAGAAAAUGAUUAGAUCAAAUUGAUGAAACAAUGUUAAAGCAAGGCAAGAAAAAAACAGAUUGGACUUUAUCAUUGAGAGUUGAAAGCAAGAUGAUCAGAUUCGGUUCAGUAUUUUAGGCCAUCAUAUCAGCCAAUCAAACCAAUAGGGAAAUUAAUCUCAUUCAUCAUAUCAUCUCUCGCUUACUAAAGGCAAAAAUGAUUCUUUUAAAGAAAAAUAUACUAGCAAGUAGAAACACAAUAGUGAGGGCAGAUGCAUCAGAUCUCCAAGGUGAAAAAGAGUGUGACAUCACAGAAAUGACUCAGAUGCAAAUUACCCAUAAACUCAUGUCUCAUCAUCUGCAUCAACCCAUUCUAUCUAAAUUGAUCUAACACUGCUUUUAUCAUUCUGCAACAAACACAAACAUAUCUAUCAACUAUAAAUGCUUUCUCUCCAUAUCACAGAAGGCAGGAUGAUCAGAUUCGGUUCAGUAUGUAGGCCAUCAUGUCAGCUAAUCAAACCAAUAGGGAAAUUAAUCUCAUUCAUCAUCUCAUCUCUCAGACUUGAAAACACAAAACAAAAGAAGAAAUGAGUAGAGCGGAUGCAUCAGAUCUCCAAGGUGAAAAGAGUGUGACAUCACUGAAAUGCCUCAGACGCAAAUUACCCAUAAACUCGUGUCUCCUCAUCUGCAUCAACAACGUUCAUUUUUUAAAGACAUGAAACAGCAAAUUCAACAAGAGAAACUAGACAGACUGGCAAAGUUUUCUACCUUAGAUAAAUCAGUGUGGGGUAUGAUCAGAUAGAGCUAAUACAUGAUUCAUUGGACAUCAUACCAUCCAUCAACAAUGUAAUUAUAUCCUCAUCUCACCCCAAACGAAUCAGAAACAAACAAAACCAAACGAAGAGGGUAUUAUCAGAUACGCAUCAGAUCUCCAAGGUGAAAAGGGUGUGACAUCACUGAAAUGCCUCAGACGCAAAUUACCCAUAAAACUUGUGUCUCAUCAUCUGCAUCAUCAAUAAUCCUCCAAGAAACAAAAGUAAGAACGAAAUACCAUCGCCUAAAAGCUGCUACAUACACACGCUCGUGCGACAUCUGCAUAAUCAUAGCCCUAGUAAUAGUUGCUUAUGUCUGAAGGUAGUAACCAAACACCAGCGCCUAAUCAGAACAGAGACCUCGUCAUGUAGCUAGUGUGAUGUCUGAAGGUACUAACCAAACACCAACGCCUAAUCAGAACAGAGACCUCGCCUAAUCAGAACAAACCCCUGAUAAAUCUACAGAAUCGCAAGUCAACUCGGCAGUGUACGACAACACCAUCACCUACUCGACCACAGCAGGCUAAAUCCAUUGCAAAUCUAAAGAACCGUACUGUAAUGU